rnacentral:pre_miRNA from 1 species
CCAUCAUGCUCCUAGUCCCUUCCUUGAAGCAAUCAAGUAAGUCACAUGAUGAGCUUCAAGCAAGGGACUUAGAGUUGGUG